GGAUUAGAUACCCUGGUAGUCCACGCUGUAAACGAUGUGCACUAGGUGUUGGCUGUUGUAACGGUCAGUGCCGAAGCAAACGCGAUAAGUGCACCGCCUGGGGAGUAUGCUCGCAAGGGUGAAACUCAAAGGAAUUGACGGGGGCCCGCACAAGCGGUGGAGCAUGUGGUUUAAUUCGACGAUACGCGAGGAACCUUACCAGGGCUUGACAUAUACAUGGCGAUCAUAGAGAUAUGGUUUCCCUUCGGGGCGUGUAUACAGGUGCUGCAUGGUUGUCGUCAGCUCGUGCCG
rnacentral:rRNA from 1 species